rnacentral:rRNA from 1 species
CUACGGGUGGCACCAGUGGGGAAUAUUGCACAAUGGGGGAAACUCUGAUGCAGCAACGCCGCGUGGAGGAUGACGCAUUUCGGUGUGUAUACUCCUUUUAUAUGUCAAGAAAAUGACGGUAGCAUAUGAAUAAGCACCGGCUAACUCCGUGCCAGCAGCCGCGGUAAUACGGAGGGUGCAAGCGUUACUCGGAAUCACUGGGCGUAAGGACGCGUAGGCGGGAUAUCAAGUCAGGUGUGAAAUCCUACAGCUUAACUGUAGAACUGCACUUGAAACUGGUAACCUAGAGUAUGGGAGGGGGAGAUGGAAUUAGUGGUGUAGGGGUAAAAUCCGUAGAUAUCACUAGGAAUACCUAAAGCGAAGGCGAUCUCCUGGAACAUAACUGACGAUAAGGCGUCAAAGCGUGGGGAGCAAAGAGGAUUAGAUACCCUGGUAGUC